rnacentral:ncRNA from 1 species
AGGGCCCCCAGAAAGGCCCUCUCGGAGCGUGUGAAUAGUCCGUCUCAUUGGCCUGAACGGACGGUUCGGGAAUC